rnacentral:rRNA from 1 species
CCUAACACAUGCAAGUCGAGCGGUAACAUGAUUAGUAGCAAUACUAAUUGAUGACGAGCGGCGGACGGGUGAGGAACACGUAGGAACCUGCCCAAGAGAGGGGGAUAACUAGGGAAACUCUAGCUAAUACCGCAUAAUUCUCUGAGGAGAAAAGUUGCCCGCAAGGGUAGCGCUUUUGGAGGGGCCUGCGUCCGAUUAGUUAGUUGGUGAGGUAACGGCUCACCAAGACGAUGAUCGGUAACUGGUCUGAGAGGACGACCAGUCACACUGGGACUGAGACACGGCCGAGACUCCUACGGGAGGCAGCAGUGGGGAAUCUUGGACAAUGGGGGCAACCCUGAGCCAGCGAUGCCGCGUGGGUGGAGAAGGCCUUCGGGUUGUAAAGCCCUUUAGGCUGGGAAGAAGAUUGCGGGGUGAAUAAUCCUGUAAUUUGACGGUACCAGCAGAAUAAGCACCGGCAAACUCUGUGCCAGCCGCCGCCGUAA